CCUACGGGGUGCAGCAGUGGGGAAUAUUGCACAAUGGGGGAAACCCUGAUGCAGCGACGCCGCGUGAGUGAAGAAGUAUUUCGGUACGUAAAGCUCUAUCAGCAGGGAAGAAAAUGACGGUACCUGACUAAGAAGCCCCGGCUAACUACGUGCCAGCAGCCGCGGUAAUACGUAGGGGGCAAGCGUUAUCCGGAUUUACUGGGUGUAAAGGGAGCGUAGACGGCAGCGCAAGUCUGGAGUGAAAUCCCAUGGCUUAACCAUGGAACUGCUUUGGAAACUGUGCAGCUAGAGUGCAGGAGAGGUAAGCGGAAUUCCUAGUGGAGCGGUGAAAUGCGUAGAUAUUAGGAGGAACACCAGUGGCGAAGGCGGCUUACUGGACUGUAACUGACGUUGAGGCUCGAAAGCGUGGGGAGCAAACAGGAUUAGAUACCCUGGUAGUC
rnacentral:rRNA from 1 species